AGGAUUUGAUCCAGUUGGGAGUCAAGAUAACUUUUCACAUGAAUGUUGCAUGGCCAACGGUAGUGGAACGGAGGUGGGACUUUAUUGUUUUUUUCCCUCUCUUCUUGAGCAAGCCACAUAAUCAGUUAUGAGUAAGAGAUAAACAAUUAAUGCAAAUUGGGGGUGUCACCUUGCCAAGGAUAAUUGCAUUGGCAAUUAAUUACAAUGGAUUACGAGGGAAGGUAUCUGAUGCCCCGAGGGUUGAGUGGGACAACGUAUAAAAGGGCUUGCAGAUUUGGGGCUCGUCCAUCUUUUCCUCUUGCCACUUGAAGCCCUUCGCUCAGCUUUGACUCUUCUGGAAAAAUAACAGCAAUGUCUUCCUACGGCUACGGUAACUGCUAUGCCCAAUGCCCGGCAUCAACGGUGACCAUCCAACCUCCACCCUUUGUUCUGAACAUCCCAGGACCAGCCCUCUAUUGUCCCAAUCAAGCGUUUUGCAUCGAACAGUACAACCCAUGUGCUGGGUAUGGGAGCAGAUAUCCAGCAUUAGCUUCCUCAGAGUUUUUCAGUGUAGGAUCUGGCUACAACCCUAGAGCCCUUUACAACUCCUGCAGCUAUAGAAGGUAUUAGUCUGGAAAGACUAAGGCUGUAGUGGAGGUCCAUAAUCUUGGGCUUCUCUUUUUUGGAACUUCUGAGCAUCCAACCUCCUGUAGGCAAGUUCAUGCGCUUGUGAAUGCUUUGUCUUUCUGAAAAAUCAGCCUUGUAUGUCUUUCUGGAGCUUAUUCUUUCGCUGAGCUAUGUCUACUCCAUUCUUUUUUUGUUCUACUUCUACUUCUUUCCCAGAGGUGUUAAGCAUGAAAACCUUGUGAAGGGCCACCCAAAAUUAGAGUCAACUUGAAACACCAUAUCUAAUGUUAGGCAAAUUAUUUGUAAAAUAAGAAAGAUGCAGAUAGAUUUGCUGCUUCUUUCUGGUCUCUUCAGCUUUCCAUCUGGCAUAUUCAACAGAUAAAUGGAUGAAUCCAGACGACCGUGAUCUAUGUAGAAUAAAAUGAAUCUAGUUUUGGCCUUCACGAGAUUAUGAAAACAGGACAUAUCACGUAUCUGUUGGAAUCAUUUGACAACGGUCGUAGUGAGCUUGGUGUCUUCUACUCUAUGUAGCCUUUGGUUGACAUCUCAGCAACAUCUCCCAUACACAGGAUGGGAGACAACGUCAUCCAGAGAUUAUCUGCAACCCAAUGAAGACUUCAACAUCAUACUUGCGUGAACUAGUCCUUAUGGAUGCAACGAUCCUGUUGCCAAGCACUACUUUGGACACAAGAUUUUUCCACUGAGUCUCUCCAGUGUAACUAGGUAGAGCUAUGUGAGCUGAAGCACAUUGGUUGGAUUUCCACCCUUGAGUUCCAAACCCAUGCCAGAAUCCCAGCACAACUACUCUGUGCCAGCUCCCAGUUGCCUCAUUGCGUUAUACAAAGCCUAGAAUCCUAUCAUCAAUUGCCAUGAAAUUAAAACAACAGUACCCAUACUGGUUGCACCCCACCCCAAGCAACUUGGAUAUCAAUGCUGUUCAGUGGGAAAUCUUGUUUGUUGUUGAUUGUUUAUUCCCUUUCUGUCCCAUACUAUGCUUCAUUGUGUUUAUCCAAUGGUCUAUUCCAUUCCUCUGUUGUAUUAAAGCAUUUCCGUGCAGCA